rnacentral:rRNA from 1 species
UACGUAGGGCGCAAGCGUUGUCCGGAAUUAUUGGGCGUAAAGAGCUCGUAGGCGGCUUGUCACGUCGGGUGUGAAAGCCCGGGGCUUAACCCCGGGUCUGCAUUCGAUACGGGCAGGCUAGAGUGUGGUAGGGGAGAUCGGAAUUCCUGGUGUAGCGGUGAAAUGCGCAGAUAUCAGGAAGAACACCCGUGGCUAAGGCGGCUCUCUAGUACGGUACUGACGCUGAGACGCGAAAGCGUGGGGAGCGAACAGG